CCUACGGGAGGCAGCAGUGGGGAAUAUUGGGCAAUGGACGCAAGUCUGACCCAGCAACGCCGCGUGAGCGAUGAAGUAUUUCGGUAUGUAAAGCUCUAUCAGCAGGGAAGAAAAUGACGGUACCUGACUAAGAAGCCCCCGCUAACUACGUGCCAGCAGCCGCCGUAAUACGUAGGGGGCAAGCGUUAUUCGGAUUUACUGGGUGGAAAGGGAGCGUAGACGGCGGUGCAAGUCUGGAGUGAAAGGCAUGGGCUGAACCUGUGGACUGCUUUGGAAACUGUGCGGCUUGAGUGACGGAGAGGCAAGCGGAAUUCCGAGUGUAGCGGUGAAAUGCGUAGAUAUUAGGAGGAACGCCAGUGGCGAAGGCGGCUUGCUGGACGAUGACUGACGUUGAGGCGCGAAAGCGUGGGGAGCAAACAGGAUUAGAUACCCGAGUAGUC
rnacentral:rRNA from 1 species